rnacentral:tRNA from 1 species
AGCUUUGUAGUCAAAAAAUGAUAUAAAAUUGCAAAUUUUAAGUAGUAAUUAUUUUACUAAGGCUU